UGAGUGUUAUGAUGGUGGAUUAAUGUAAAUUAGUCUUAGUCUAGCUCUGGUCUACCGCUAGAGAAUUUUCUCUAGCGG
rfam:Streptococcus urinalis 2285-97 final_molecule, whole genome shotgun sequence.